AGUGUGGUCAUUCACCGUUACCUGAGGACCAUAGAUCAGUGUGAUUGUCCAUGGACAAGAAGCCAAAAAUACUUGGUUGAAGCUUUCCUGUCUCUCCUUGGGGACCCGCUGUAGAGUUCAGGUCCCUCCCUGAAUCAUGUCACCAGUCUUGUGGAGAUAGUGCAUCAGUUACAUGAAACUGUCAUCCCCACAAGGUACCCAGGGUGAAACACCACAUUUUGUCACCAGUAAGUACGGCCAUUGGUACUGAAAAAGCGAGAUGGGGAUUGGGAGCAGUGACUUGGGAGAGCCGGACUGGAACACCUGCAUAUGAAAGAUGUUAGAAUUCUCCCCACUGGACUAGUAAGGUUGAGGCAAACCUUAUAAAAUAGCGCCAGAAAACUGGGAUAGAAACCAGAUUCCACUACUGCCCCAUGAAAUGUGUUUUAAUGUUCUGAAUGUCCUUCUCAUUUUUCUUCUCCUCUAUAAAAUCCAUUCCCUCCGAAGGUUAACAAACAUAUAUACUGUCUCUGUGGAGAUUACAUAAACGUCCUCUGUGGAUGCACAUAGAACUAAUGUAGCAGCCUCUAAAGUUAACUGUAUACUUUAUAGUGGUAGAUUUAUACCUCUCCAAGAAUUGCUAUCAACUUCUUUCUGUGGUAUUAUAAAAGGAAUAAUUUGCUCGAAAUUUCUUGAUGCACCUGUCCAUUUAAAUAAUCAUCCUAUUUUAGGCUCACAUGUGAGUUUUGGAUUUUUGAAGUGAAGUCUUUUAAAAUGUACAAAACCUAACAUUUCUGCUGUGUUUCUGAAAGAUUAAAGAAAAAUUCCAUUAAGAAAGACUAGGAGAAUUCAACUGUGUCUUCUCAUGUGUUGCUAGCAUUUUCCAUCCCAGAUAGAAAAUAUGCCAAGGUGCAUUGUGUAUUAAUCAAUCAAAAUGCAAAAGUAACAGCACAAUUCACCAUCACAACCUCACAACCAAGAAUAUUCCUCAAGGGAGCUUUCAUUGAAUUGCCUGGGUUUUGACACAGAGUAACCCAGCUGUCCAGCUAUUGAUUUGGGCAUAAUUAUCUUCUGCUUAGUAAUUAUUUACAUAUGCAUUGGAAUUGUGUCACUGUGCUUUUCAGUGGGAUUAAGAGAAAUAGUGACAGCAUAAUACUAUUUGAGGGCAAACUCUAUGGUUUCUAAAGAUACGAAUCCAUUGUUAGGCCUUUUAGUGGACAGAAUUUUUCAUUGGACAUAGUCCCACCCAGAGAAACCAGGAAAAGGGCUUCUGGGCAUUUGAGUCUGGAUUUUAUUUUUUGCAGUCCAUGGUUGUGCAUCCUGUCCUUUAGACACCUGAGCUUGAAGCCAUUUCCUGGGCUUGAAUGCAUUAAAAAUAUGUGUAUACAAUCCCUAGUCUGGGAACCUCCAUAUACCACAGGUGCAGCCCUUAAAAAAAAAAAUGUGUUUAUGUGUGCACACACACCCACCCUUUCCUGGCAGAUUUUGCACUCUAUGAAAUUUGUAUUAUUUGGUAAUGAUUGUGGCUUGGUCCAAUGAUGCUUACCUUUUGAAAUGAUGCUUACUCUUUAUGCAAGAAAAAAAACAGUAUUUAAACUGAUUGAUCCUAAACAUUCAGGCUAAAGUCAGGGUUUCCAAUGUGAGUAACUCAUUGGGAUGGUACUAAAAGAUGCCUUCUUCUAACUCUCCCUACUCCUGUGGAUAACUCUGUGGGUAGGACUGACAUUUAGAGGUCUACAGUACCCACCAUUGAUGUUAAGGUAUGUGAUCAAUUAAUUUUUAAUUUUGGCCAAAUUAAUUUCUGUCAUAACAUGGACUAACAUUUUAUACUUAAUUCAAAGCUAACUUCAUUCAGAAAGUUGUGGCUGGUGUUGUGUCAUUUGAGGAACAGAAGUUUACUCUAAAGCGGUAUUUUCACAUACCCAUGAUGCUCAGAAUGGUCAUUUUCUAGUGUUUAUAUAAUGGUAAGGGUAUUGCAGAUUUGUUUCUAACUUGCUCUUAAAUGACUGAAACACUUAGCAAGGUGUCUUUUUAACUAAUUUUGAUGUUUUAAUAUAGAAUCAGAUUUUCACAAGAGUUGAUAUUAGACCUCAAUUCCAGGAUGUAAAUAAUUUGCAUUUUCUGUGAGUAUGCCAUUUUGUUUAGAAUCAUGUUUACAAAAUUUGUACUAGUCACACACUGCUGAAGCAAUGAGCAAAACAUGGAAAACAUGUAAUGCGCUUAAAAAAACAAAUUGAGAGGAUACUGAACUGUGUCUGGAGGCUCCUGAAACCCUUCCCACAGUUGCUCAUGAAUAAGAGGAAAAGAGAUGAAGAUUUCCUUCAGACCAGCCUAAUCUAAAUAUGAAACUCCCUCCACUUCCUUCUGGUCCCAUUUAUCUCUCUGCUCUUGUUCAGUGGAAUUCCUUUCAUUAUCUAGUUAAUGUAGACAUGUAUUCAGUCUUCACCAUUCAUCUUUUGAACUUGUUUGCAUCAGUGUUGUCCAUCAUUGAUUAAAAGAUCCUAGACUGCAGGGUCAAGUUCUCUUAUACUCUCUUUCUAAAGUGCUUAUUACCAUCCCAUGCUAAGUAGAUAAUGAAUGCAAGUGGUCAAGGUGCUUUUAUUUACAUUUCCCAUAACUUCUGGUGGGAAAAUGUUUUCCUAUAUUUCCUUGCCAGCUGAUGCACCUUUAUAACUAUGGUGAGGCUUGGGAUGGAGGGGGAUGGGAUAUGGUAUAGGGUAGGGUUGGGACUGGAGAGCAAUUUAAGGUGGUGGAGAGGAGCUUGUGCCCUGGAAUCAGACAGACCCAGGGGAAUAUUCACUUCACAACUUAAACUCUCUUUCUGGUCUUCGAUCAUCCAAGCCCACAUCUCUUCAUUUGUGAAACAGGAGUAUAAUACCUAUGUUCUAGGCUGAUUUGUGUUCCCUACAAAAUUCAUAUGUUGCAGUCCUAACCCUGGAGCUAGGAACUUGACUAGAUUUGGAGACGGGGUGUUUAACUGUGGCGCUGGAGUUAAAACAAGGCACUAGAAUGAACCCUAAACUAGUAUGAAUGAUGACCUUAUAAGAAGAGGAAAUUUAGACACAGUCAUGGCUGUUGUGAAGACACAGAGAGGAGAUGCCCAUCUACAAACCAAAGAGAGAGCCUUCCCUUUCAGCCCUCUGUGGGAACCAACCUUGACCUCAGAAGUCAAGGCUCCAGAACUGCAAGGCAAUUAAUGCUGGGCAAUGCCAAUGCAAACAAGUUCAAAAGGAACAUGAUGAGACAAUUUCUGUGGUUUAGGCCAUCUGGUCUGUAAUAUUUUGUAAUUGCAGCCCUAUCAAACUAAUAUAACCUACUUCAUGGUAUCAUUUUAAUUAGAUAGGAUCCUGUUUAUAAAGUACUUACCAGGGUGAAUGAUGUAUAAUAGACGCUCAAUAGGUAGUAGUUUAAUAAAAUGGUCAGAGGUGAGAAAAGAGAACAAAAGUGGAAACACUUAGAAAUUGCAUUCUUAAGGCCUACAUGAGCAUGGAGGUAGAUUUGGAAGACAAUACAAAGGAGUUUCUUUUUGUUUAAAUUAGGCCCCAUGCGAACUUGUGAGCAUUUAUGGAUCGACAGUAUUCAAUUGUGUUUUUCUUUGCAGUUGUCCCUUUGGGAUGAUUAAUGAGCCCCAAGUACUAACAGAUGAGCCUCACAGGAGGAUUUAUGAUCUUGAACCAUAGAUUCAGAUGGUGUCUGCAUGUUGAAUGCUUGGUAAAAAUAUGGAAGUAGUGGUGUCCCAAUCUAACUGGUUUCAUUGGAUUGGUUUCACACUUCAUUGCCUUCUGGCAAAGAAUAUUGUGAGCCCAAAUAAUUUUUUAAAUGGCCAGCAUUAAAAUGAGGCCUCCUGCUAUUCACUGAAGCUCUUCUCUAAGUAACCAGAAGUUACUGCAUUUAUGUGGAUUGAAAGCAUAUUUUAAGCAUCACUUAAAUAUUUUAAAUAUCAGUUCUACAUACCAAACAUCAGUCCUGCAAACCUUUCCCCUGUUAACAUUAGUAAGAGUUCUUUUAUUUAUUUGCAAGAUGAAAAAACAUAAGAUUCUUUUUUCUUCGUUUGUACCUCCAAAGAGUAAUUUCCUUUCAAUGUGAAGUUUAUUGAAAUUGUUUAAGUUAGAGUAAUUGCUUCUAAAAUGCCUGAGUUUCUCAUAAGAAUGUCAGGGUCGGCACAUUUCUUAAGAUAUUAGAUUUCUUUAACUACCUUGCCCUUCAACUGUGUUGAUGCGGAUGUUUUAUUAAACACUAAUGGGUCUCCUCGAGUCAUAGCAGCAGAAGUUUAGGGAAGGUCAUUUCGGUGGGGAGGUUAUAUUCAUGAGACAAUCUCCCCCUCCACACACACACCUGUAGUCUUAACCCUUAGCAAAUAGAUUCUCUAAAAGACUAGUUGGAUUUUUUUGUUUUGUUCUGCUUGGUUUUGUUUUAAGGUAAUUUUGUCAAAAAGGCUCUCCUGGCCCAGAAAGGAGACAUGGGCUAGCCCUGAGGAAAGUGACAGACUCCACAGCUGGACUAGAACUCUAGGUUACAUACCAUGAGUCA
rnacentral:lncRNA from 9 species